UGGAGAUGCCGAGAUGUGCAGAGUCAGUCAGUCAGUGAGAGAGAGAUGGGUAACCGUGGAGUGGAUCUCGCAGCGGACCGCCGGCCCCCGGCCCCAGGGCUCGUACAUCCAGCCGGCCUGCUCGCCGGUGAGUAUGUGCAGCAGCCUGAAGAGGCGCCUGUAGGCAGGGGAAGCCGCCGGAUCUUGCACAGCGCAGUUGAGGUACUUGGGCAUGAGACGAGAAUUACUGUGGAGUAAACGAAGAAUGGCUUGCUAUUUGGCUCUUGCCAUCCACAUUCUCUUGGAUUAAACAUUGCCAUAAGUUUUUCUCUCCGCAACGAAUAUAUUAGAUCAAGCAUCAUGUCAUGGACACGAUAAGCUUUCACUCUUCUCUUCGUCGAUGCCUACAGAAAACCACUUGCAUGGCACUGAGUGAAAGCGGUUUAUACAAAGGCAACAUUUGAAGACUCUCCAUCCGAAAGAGCAUGUCGGUAUGACCACCAUGAGAAGCAGCAAUGCCGCAAGUGAGGUAUCUUGCAAUAUCUAUAUAUGUGCUAUUGUUGAUAGUGCUGCUUUUGUCGAGUACCUGUGUUGGAUUUAGAAUAUUGUGUUGUAUGUUUCUAGUCAAUGGAGGCUCCUGAAACUUGGAGAACAUUGCAUUUGUCUUGGUGUUUUUAUUUGUCUUUCUUCUGCAAGUACAUGAAGCUCUCCAUGUGAUUGCAUCCUCCUAUGCGUGAAUUCUCUUCUAUCGACUCAAGAACCAUCAAGUUUCAGCGGCGCCUCCUAUGUUUAGCUUGUUAUGAACUUAUAUUUCCAUUUCUUUGUGUUGUAAGGAAGUGUGUAAUUAUGAUGUACUGCUGGGUGGUUAAUUUGCCUUGGAGUUUUGAAUCUUCUUCGACAUGAAGCUCUCAUUGUGACUGCUCCCACUUAUUCCUGAAUUCUAUUAUCACUUCUGCUGAUUGAAGGAACAUUCAGUUUCUGUUGUGCCUCUUGUAUUUUGCUUAUGAUGAACUUCCUUUUCCAUUUAUUUCUUUUGUAAGGCAGAACUUUUCAAUUUAUUCGUUUUGUAAGGCAGAGUAUGUAAUUAUGAUGCACUGUUGCCUGGUUUGACAACUUUGAUUAUCUAUUGAGUCUCUUCCUAGCAGUUUUCAGAAUCAUGGUAUGAAAUUAUGGUUGUUCAGUUUAUACAAUCAUCUGAAAUUUCACCUAUUAUCUGUACUGGUUACUAUUUGUUUUAUUUGUUGCCUUCUAUUCGUCACGUUAAUUGAAACUUGACUGAAUAAAUGGGGCAGUGCUAUUAGCCUGGUCUUUUUCUGGAGGUAAAUGACUUGGCUUAGCAAACAAUGCGGUGUGCAAACGAAAAGCUGUAUAAGUUUACACUAAUGUCUCCCUCACUCAACACUCUUGUGACAAUACUCUGAUGUUUUUUUUUUACUCUCGUGAAAAUGUACUCAUCUGCAUGGCACAUGCUUUUAUGAUGACCAGGUACACAAUCAGCAAAUUAGUCAGCUAAUCUCUUAGUCACAGCCGGUGCCCAUUGCUCUCUGCAGUUAGAACUAUUUUUUAAAUGUGUUUAAAUUUGUCGUUUUCCUCUUUUUUCCUCUCCAUACGCAUGGCGGUGUGUGGUUGGUUCGCCGGUGGUGCCGACAUUGAUUGGUCCAGCCAACUAGCCGUGUUUGUCUGGAGCAUACAGAGGAGGGAUCUCUCUAAUUUUUUUCCUUUUGCACAAGACAAUGACGCACACACUAAUGGUCACCGUUGGUUUCUUCCUACUUUCCUAGCUAGCUUAUCUGCCAGGAAACCAAGAUUGCACACCGCCAACUCCCUUACACCCAAAAUACCACCGCAACAGUGUGUAGAGAGGUCAAGCUACCUUAGCCAUGGAGAUCGCCAUGGUGGCCAUCAGGCCUCUCCUUACGAAGCUCGGCGACCUGCUCGCUGGUGAGUUCACCCUGGAGAAGCGCAUGAGGAAAGGUAUGGAGUCUCUUGUCACAGAGCUAACCUUGAUGCACGCUGCCCUUCGCAAGGUGGCAAAAGUUCCGCCAGAGCAGCUUGACGAGGGGGUCAAAAUAUGGGCAGAAAAUGUCAAGGAGUUGUCCUACCAAAUGGAGGACAUCGUUGACACCAUGAUGGUGCAUGUGGAAGAUGACGGUGAGCCUGUCAACCAGAAUAGAAUCAAGAAGUUGAUCAAGAAGAUCAUCAAAUUAUUCAAGAGCGGAAGGGAUCUGCAUCGGAUGUCUGACUCUCUAGAAGAGGUGAUGGGUCAAGCUAAGCAGUUGGCUGAGCAGCGCAAAAGAUAUGAGCAAGAGAUGCGGGACACCAGUGCUGGUGCUGGCGUUGACCCUCGUGGGGCUCUAUACACAGAUGUGACAGAGCUUGUUGGGAUCGAACAAGCACAAGACAAGUUGAUUAACAUGUUGAUGAUUGGUUGAAGAGUCCGAUAAAGACAAUAUCUGUUGUUGGAUUUGGUGGGCUGGGAAAGACUACUCUUGCGAAAGUGGUGUAUGAUAAGAUCAAAGUACAAUUUGAUUGUGGGGCCUUUGUUUCAGUUUCUCAGAUAUUCUCUAUGAGUUAGACAAGAAGAAGUAUUCAUGCAUUCAUAGUGCAAUAAGGGAUGAAAAACAGCUUAUCGAUGAACUCAUUGAAUUUCUUACGAGCAAGACCGAAUUUUUUAAGAGCAAUAAUGAAUUCCUUACCAACAAGAGGUACAUCAUCGUAAUUGAUGACAUAUGGGAUGAAAAAGUGUGGCGUUUAAUCAAGUGUGCUUUCCCCAAGAAUAGUCUUGGAAGUCGAAUAAUCACGACUACUCGCAUUGUUAGUGUAUCCGAAGCAUGCUGCUCUUCUAGUGAUGAUAUUUUCAGAAUGGAAUUUCUUUCUAGUGACAUCUCUAGAAGGCUCUUCUAUAAGAGAGUAUUCUCUAAUGAGAGGGGGUGUCCUCAUGAACUGGUGCAAGUAUCCCAAGACAUCUUAAAGAAAUGUGGUGGUAUACCAUUAGCCAUUAUUACCAUAGCAAGCCUUCUAGCAAGUAAUCAUCAAACAAAAGCAAAAGAUCAGUGGUAUGCUUUGCUCAAUUCCAUCUGUCAUGGACUUGCAGAAGAUCACAAUGUGGAGGACAUGAAAAAGAUACUAUUGUUUAGCUAUUAUGAUCUGCCAUCUCAUCUGAAGCCUUGUUUAUUAUAUUUAAGUAUAUUUCCGGAAAAUUUCAAGGUCUUAAGAGUUGACUUGAUA